UACGUAGGGUGCGAGCGUUGUCCGGAAUUAUUGGGCGUAAAGAGCUCGUAGGCGGCUUGUCGCGUCGGAUGUGAAAGCCCGGGGCUUAACUCCGGGUCUGCAUUCGAUACGGGCAGGCUAGAGUUCGGUAGGGGAGAUCGGAAUUCCUGGUGUAGCGGUGAAAUGCGCAGAUAUCAGGAGGAACACCGGUGGCGAAGGCGGAUCCCUGGGCCGAUACUGACGCUGAGGAGCGAAAGCGUGGGGAGCGAACAGG
rnacentral:rRNA from 1 species